GGAUAGGACUUCUUGUUUUACUUCCUAUCGACUUGCUUCUUGUAGACGCCUUAUAUACUGCAGGUGUAUGGCGGGUCUGUGCACGUGCCGGAUAUGCUUCCGCUGGUAUCCGGGCGUGACAUUAUCUGUACUAUGGAACACUUUAAUUUGACUAUCUAAUCUUUCAAAACUUUGAUUUUACUAUCUAAUUUUUCAAUUCAUUUGAUUUGAAUAAGUAAGUGGGAUUUUGACUUCAAAUUUUAAGCUAAUUAAAUUACAAAAAUUAUAUAAAAUAUACUAAUUGAAUCUGUAAAAAUAAACGACGCACUCAAAUUUGAAGGUAAAGUAUUAUUGAUUGACUCAAAUCAAACCAAUUGAAACAUAAGAUAGUAAAAUUAAAACUUUGAAAGGUUGGAUAGUUAAAUCAAAAUGGUCCAAAGUUCAAAUAGGUUUUGUAUGUUUUUAUCUUGUUUUU
rnacentral:lncRNA from 1 species